GAUGAACGCUGGCGGCGUGCUUAAUACAUGCAAGUCGAGCGAACGGACGAGAAGCUUGCUUCUCUGAUGUUAGCGGCGGACGGGUGAGUAACACGUGGAUAACCUACCUAUAAGACUGGGAUAACUUCGGGAAACCGGAGCUAAUCCCGGAUAAUCUUUUGAACCGCAUGGUUCAAAAGUGAAAGACGGUCUUGCUGUCUCUUAUAGAUGGAUCCGCGCUGCAUUAGCUAGUUGGUAAGGUAACGGCGUACCAAGGCAACGAUGCAUAGCCGACCUGAGAGGGUGAUAGGCCACACAGGAACUGAGACACGGUCCAGACGACUACGGGAGGCAGCAGUAGGGAAUCGGACGCAAUGGGGGAAAGCCUGACAGAGCGACGCCGCGUGAGUGAUGAAGGUCUUCGGAUCGUAAAACUCUGUUAUUAGGGAAGAACAUAUGUGUAAGUAACUGUGCACAUCUUGACGGUACCGAAUCAGAAAGCCACGGCUAACUACGUG
rnacentral:rRNA from 1 species